rnacentral:rRNA from 1 species
UAGUAACAGAGUUUGACCUCCGGUCAUCGAAUUUCGAACGCCAGCGUGGAGCGCUUUACAUGAAAAGUAGUCAAACUGCGCACGGACUCCCAGCCCUGGUGGAAGAUAGCAGCAGUUCUGGGUAUGGUCGUAUCGAACGCCCGGUAGGUGGGGAUAACUACGCGAAAGUUAUAGCUAAUACCGCAUAAUGGUUCUCUGAAAGCGGGGAUCUUCUGGGCCUCGCACUGAAGGAGCUACGAUAUCGGAUUAGCUAGUUGGUGGGGUAACGGCUCACCAAGGCGACGAUCCGUAGCUGGUCGGAGAUAUAUCGAUCAGCCACACUGGACCAGGACAUGUCUGGGGACUCCUGCGCUGGAGUAGUGGUGGGGAAUUUUUGAUGGCCGGGGAAACUCCUGAUCAGCCAUCCGGGCAAAAGUAUGAAGGCCUUCGGGUUGUAAAGCACUCCUGCAGGAAAGAAACGGUACGGGAUAAUACCCGUGUAACUGACGGUACCUGCAGAAUAAGCACCGGCUGUAACUACGUGCCAGCAGCCGCGGCAUAGCUGUAGGUAAGACCGGAAUUACUAAGGGAAGCGUGCGCAGGCGGUCUGGAAAGAAAGAUGAAAUCCCAGAGCUAACUUUGGAACUGCAUUUUUAAUCACUGAGCUAGAGUGUGUCGAGGGGAGGUGGAAUUCUGCGGCAGUGAAAUGCGUAGAUAUGCGGAGGAACACCGAUGGCGAAGGCAGCCUCCUGGGGAUAACACUGACGCCUGGCACGAAAGCGCGGGGAGCAAACAGGAUUAGAUACCCGGUAGUCCACGUCCAAACGAUGUCAACUAGCUGUUAGCCUUUCGGCCUUGGUAGCGCAGCGACCGCGGAAGACCGUCAGGCGAAGCAGCCGUGACGGUGUUCCAAAGAAUUGAUUGGGACUCCGCGCCGGCGGUGGACGAUGUGAGAUUGUCUGAUGCAAACGCGAAAACCUCUACCGGCCUUGACAUGUCUGGAAUCCCGAAGAGAUUUGGGAGGCGUUCGCAAGAGAACCGGAACACAGGUGCUGCAUGGCUGUCGUCAGCUCGUGUCGAGAUGUUGGGUUAAGUCCCUACAACGAGCGGCGUAAACUUUGGUUGGUUAGUUGCUACGAAAAGCAGCAACCCUGACGAGACUGCUGGCAGCCAAACCGGAGAAGGUGGUGGAUAUGCCGUCCUCGCAUGGCCCUAUGGUAGGGUAGGGCUUCGGCACGGUCAUACAAUGCAGCCGGGAUGGAGGGUCGCCAACCCGCGAGGGGGAGCCAAUCCCCAGAAACCCGAUCGUAGUCCGGAUCGCAGCCUGCAACCGACUGCGUGAAGUCAGAACCUGCUGGGGCAUCGCGGACUGUGCGGCUGCCGCAAAGAACAUGGGUUCCCGGCCUGCAGCACACGCCGUCACACCAUGGGAGUGGGUUUUACCAGAAGUAGUUAGCCUAACCGUAAGGAGGGCGAUUACCACGGUAGGAUUCAUGACGGGGUGAAGUCGUAACAAGGU